GUGUUGGUGGCUCAGUGAUAGAGCUCUCACCUUCUACGCAGAAGACCCAGGUUUGAUUCCCAGCCAAUGCA
rnacentral:tRNA from 1 species